rnacentral:lncRNA from 12 species
AUGUUUUGCAUAAAAAACUUUUUACACAGUUCUUCUCAGUACUUGAAAACCUCUAAAUAAAGAAUUUGGCUGUGUUGUGAGUCUAUCUGAUAUAGAUAACAUGAUGUUAUCUAAAGUUUUUAGCUUAGUAAAGGCACUGAAAUCAAUAUUCAAAACCAAACAAAUGGUGAAAGUUUUUUUUUAUGUGCUGUGUGAAUACAUUUACAGUUACAUUUAGUCAUUUUGCAGACGCUUUUAUCCAAAGCGACUUACAAUUGGGGAAAAUUAAAUAUAGUAUGUGAACACUGAAUGACCUCUGUAUGACCUUUCUCUCUCUCUCUCUCUCUCUCUCUCUCAUGGCAUAGAAGCCAGUCAACUCCAUCAGAAGAUCACAGAGAACAUUUACCAUGCUCCCAUGAGAAAUAUACGCAAGACAGCUCUCCGGCAGUCUGACUCUUCCAGUCCAGAAACUGGCUACAGGCGUAGUGAUACAGGCCCAAAUAUGCGUCACAAACGAGGUUAGUAUAAAACCUACCAUUUCUCUAACCAAACAAUCAGAAGUAUUCGCCCUUCAGAGCCUGCAACGGUCAACAAGCUCUCCGGAUUUACAUUCAUUUGUAGUGAAAGGCUAUUUAUCACAGAGUGUUAUCUGUCUUCCUGUCUCCUACUUACUUUUGAACUAUUUAGUGCAUUUCCCUUAAUUAGGCCAUUAUCUCUAAUCUCUGCUGUAAUGGCUGUAAAAUUGCCAACUGGUAAUUGGUUACUGGAAAGCACUUCAAAGCCUCAUCCC